AGCUCCAAUAGCGUAUAUUAAAGUUGUUGUGGUUAAAAAGCUCGUAGUUGGAUCUCAACAGACUUGGAUCGGUUUACUUUGUGUAAUACUGAUCCAAAGCUGUGCUUUUGUCGGAGGUUUAGGGGUGCUCUUAACCGAGUGUCUCUGAGUGCCGACAGGUUUACUUUGAAAAAAUUAGGGUGCUUAAAGCGGGCUGUUAUGCUCGAAUAUUUGUGCAUGGAAUAAUAGAAUAGGAUGUUGAUCUUAUUUUGUUGGUUUUCGAGACUUGACAUAAUGAUUAAUAGGGACAGUCGGGGGCAUUUGUAUUCAAACGACAGAGGUGAAAUUCUUGGAUUUGUUAAAGACGGACUACUGCGAAAGCAUUUGCCAAGGAUGUUUUCA
rnacentral:rRNA from 1 species